rnacentral:lncRNA from 1 species
GUUUCUCGGUUUUCUCACCCUUCGCUCAACUUCUCAUAGAAAUUCUUCAAAUUUUCAAUCUCAAAUUUGUUAAAUCGCUACUCAUAUCACCAACCCUAAUCAAGUAUGGGCUCAAUUUCCUUUUAGAUUGUAUUUUUUUGUCAGAUUUUACCUCUUUUUCUUUCACCCAUUCAUAAAUAUGUAGAAGUUAGAAGCGGUUUGAAGGUUUAAGGCAAAAGAUUCUCGAAAAUCUAUAGAUAUCAGAAGUUGUUUGAAGGUUUUAAGAAGAAAGGUUGGAAGUUUGAUAAUCACUGCGAGCUUUUGAUGUUUUCGAUGUUUUGAAGUUGUUCAAAGGCUUGUAAGGUACCACACAUGUUUUAUCCUAUGCUUGUUUUCCGUAUUUUAUCGAUUCUCGAUUUCCACUGUGUGCUCAUAUUAAUGUAGAGAAAAAUACUUUUUUAUGUUAGAUUUACUUGAAUUUUUUGUAUUGAAAAUGUAUUCUAUUGAAUUUGAAGUAUUUAGUUAUAAGAAAUUUAUUGAAAAAAUUAAUUUUUUGAACAUGUACAUUUGUUCUUCUAAUAUGGACAUGAUUGUCAAUUGUUGUAUCACCAUGUACUAUAGAAGUUCUGCUCAUAUUUUUCAAGAAGAAGAAGAAUAUCCUACUCUUUUUCUCUAUCCAUCUUGUUGAUUGACACCAAAUAGUACUUGUAGUAUGCGAAAAAUUUCUCGGAGAUAGGAAAUGUACCAAUUAACAUUAACAUGACACUAGUAUCCAAAGGCUAGAACAUCACUAUGUAUGUACUUGAGAAGUCACAUUAACAACUUAUCUAAUGCUAAAGUGUGAGAAGAAACAAUGGAAGAAUACAAUUGGGAAAUGUAGAGAACUCUACAAAUUUGUUCCCCAAAUGUUAUUUCACAUUGUUGCAUUAAUAAUUGAUUUUCCAGCCUCUUUCUUCAUUUUCAUUGAUUUUUCACUCUCUUGAAACUACACGAACACUUGUUGCAUAUAGUAGAUCAUGAAAGGUGUUGGAUAAGAGCAGGAAGAAUAGGGAGAACAAGUAUUUUUUUUCUUUUUUUUGACUAAGAUCUUCUGAUAAGAUAGAAGCUGAGGAAAACGAGUACCAUAUCGAAGAAAAACUAAUGCAAUAUAGAAGGGCCAGUAUUGGUUACAAGAGACGGUUAGUAAAACGCAAACAAUACUAUAAAAAAUUUCUCAGUACAAGCAACCAUCUGAAAAGAAGAGGUUUGUUUUCUCCAGUAUGCUGAUUGCAGCUCCAAACAAAGGACUUUGGCAGAUUAGAGGGAGACUAGGUUGUUUACAUACGGAAAGCAUCGAUAAUGAAUGCAAGCUUCACUGCUCAGCAAUUUUGUUGCACAGGAAUUGAAAUCGUAUGGAACGUUCUUUAUGCACAAUCCGCCUCCAUUAUAUCACUCUCAACAUGUAAAAUUGAUUAGCUCCUUCCUACAUCCCCGACAAUUUUACUCUCUGUUUCUCUGACCACAUUCUGAUUUGGCUUUUCAUUUGCAUUGUAUUUGAGUGGGCAUUAACCAAAAUGUUUAACCUUAUUAUAUUACCAGUUACAUCAACCUUACAAAGCUUUCCACUAAAAGCCCCCAAGAAGCCAUGAGUGUCGUUGCCUUGAAGGAGCGGUGACCUCUCCUUUGGUUAGAUCAAAAUCAAGAAUAUUACCAGUUGUCAUCCAGUAAAUAAUGCCAUUCACAUGGACCCCUGAUUUUGGCAAUACUUUCUAGCUCCAAUAUAAUUUUGUACUCUGCUAUAAAGUUGAGCAACGGUGGUUCAAAUAAGAGCACAAUUGUUGGAUUUGAUCCAUGAUUAGCAUUUGAUUUUUGUUCUUAGAUUACAUGAACUGACAUUCAUUCUCUGUACUAACUCUAACUUGUUAGUAUUGUGGUUCUUAGAAUAGAAACUAAUUCAUGACACCUAUAGCUUUAACUUUAUAAUUUGACUCAGUGUUUUAAGUGGAAUCAGUGGUUUACAUUUCUAUCAAUGAAACAACAGUUCAGUAAAAUGUCCCACCAUUUUUAUUUGAUUGAUAUAAUACUUUGCUUUAUGACUUGAUAUUUUCUUUGGCAGGUAGAUAUAAUCAUUUUUAAUUUCUGAUUCUGAUACUUCUCCUAUUUUAUCUAAUGUUGCAGAAAAUGAAAGGAACUGGCAGAGGACGAGGACAAGGUAAAAGUGGAAGAGAUGGUGUAGGAAGUGGAUGUGGUAAUUUUUUAGAACACAAAAGUUUAUGAACUACGUCUCAACCACAAAUAUAACCAAUAAGAGUUGUUGAAAUAUCAUUAGAGACUGGACAAUAACCUAACCCAAUUCAAGGACGUCUAUAGGCAGAACAAAUAUCAAGUGCCCCUCUCCAAAGAACAUCUCCCCAGAUAUGAUCAUCAAGAAAUCUAGAAGAAAGUAUGCAACCCUCCCUAGAGGUUGAAACUGGUAUAGGUUAGUUCACGUCCCUCCCUUGUAGGAAACGAUUGAUUAAUGCUUUGCUGGUUUAUUCAUCUUGACAUUUUGGAAUAUUAGAAAGAUUUUGCACCCUCUAUUUAUUGAAACUUUUUGCAUUUGUUAGAGGAAAUCUGUUGGGUUUUUCUUUGAUAGCUGUUAUCAUCAUUAUAAUUUGAUCAACAAGAAUUGCUUUUGAUAGCAACAACUAUGAUAGCAGUGAAAACUUUGUUUGCUGCCAUCACUGCCUUGUUCACUUGAUCAUCUACCCUAUGUAUGAUAAUUGCAUUCUAUGCUUCCUUUCUACCAACCUGCAUAAAAAAAGCCAGAUCAUGACAAGUUAAUGUUUGAGCAGUUGCAUAUGUUUCAAUAUAAGUAGAUAUACUUAAUUGCAAGGUGCAGUCUGAGGGUAUUAAAUGAGAAAUCAACGACUAUAUGAAUUAUAUGAAUCUUCACUGAACAUGUUGGACUAAAAAUAAAUUUUACCUGAACGGCUCGAAGAACUACAUUAGUAAGUGGGGGAAAUGGAGUAUUGAGAUUGCCAGAGGCCCCAUUUACCGCACCUUAUGUCACCAUUUCUAAAUUUAUAAAUUUCGUAACCUUUUUAUUACCUUUAUGCCAUGACCUUCCAUAGCAGUGCUUGUUGGCAAAGUGAUAGCAAACAUAGAGGCUAGUGUGUCUUCAACAACGAAAAGUAUGCGUCAAUAGGUGCAAGUUGAUAUGAACCGAAAGUUGCAAGAAGAACGUGAACAAAUGACUGCCGAUUUAAAAAGGAAUAUGGAAGAAGAUUUGCAAAAACAAUUGGAAGGGAACAUGAACACAUGAAAGGUGAAGUAGACAAGAUGUUCCAAGAACAAAUGGCCGCUGUCAUGACUAGAAUUCAACAGGUACUUUAUCUUUUUCCUUCCUAACAAUUCUAUUCAGUUCUUUGAAAGUUUAGAGUUGUUGGUGCAUCAGUUGAUAUUGGUGGUGCCAUAAUUACGUAGUGUCAUUUGUGUUAUUGAGCCAGUCCAUUUGAGAAUUGAUGUAGAUUUGGAUUAAUUUCAAUGUCUUCUCUGGAAUUGAGUUGUUAUGUGAUGAUUGCUUUGCCGCAUAAAGAUCAAAACUAAUUUCAUUAGCAUUAGGAUAUAUAUUGUGGGGAGCAACUUGUUUUAUUCUUUUGUCAAGCUGCUGAGUUGCAUAAGCUCGAAAAAUAAAAUGGAAAUUGGGUGUUGCAAGGAUGUAGUGAAAAUUAUAGCAAAACAUAAGGAUACUUUUGGUUAAAAAACUCUUAGAUCCUUCCCAAUUCUCUGUUAUGUUGUGAGGAUCAGAGAAAAUUGCUUCUUCCUAAGCAUGUAAUGCAAUGUAAGCAUUCUUAGCCUAAAAUUCUCAAAAGAAAGUGAUGGAUUGAUGGCAAUAAUAUAUCACCACCAACAAACACAAAAGACUAAUUACAUGUAGAAGCAAACAAAAUCCCCUGAAGCUGGCAAUCUCAUUGUACAACUUUUGUAUCAAAUGCCUAUAGCUACGAGUUCCCUUUGUACAUUUCAAUUGAUUCAAUCUUUUUGGAGAUGAAUUAUGCAAAUAGGACACAAAUAUUUUUUCCAUACGUUUUAUGAGAAGGUCCCUAAAGAGAAUAGAUGCUAUAUUGUCACUGAUUCCAGUGCAUGAGGGAGGCAACAAUGACAUUUAAUUUCUAUACCACAUCCAAAUCGUCCAAAUUUGUUUGUCUUUGCAUCUAUGGGUAAUUUAUUAUAAUAUAGAGCCCUUCAAGUGAUGACUACUUGCUUGUUAGGGACCAUUUUAGCCAAACUUUUAGGUUUUUUCAGUUGCAUCCUUCUUAACUCUUAUUUGGUCCCAUAUUGAUGCUAUUGAGGAAGUACCAUUGUUAACGUUUUACUAAGUUUUCUUCAAUAGCCCCCGGAAAAGUGUACUCUAAUGUGCUCUAUAUCACCCCUUUUAUUAUGAGAAUUAGAGAUUGAUUGUGUGUUUUUCUAAUUACAGGGACAAGUUUAUUAAACAAGGGGCCAAUCAAGAAGAAGGUUGAAGGCGUACACUGGAAGUUUUUGCUUUUUGACCAUAAAUAUAUAUACAAUGGAAGUAUUUUUGGUUUUGGUUAUAUAUAUAUAUAUAUAACAACUGAAGUACUACUAUGCAGUUGAAUUUUUGGUAUUUAUAAUAUUUGACUUAAGAAUGCUUUUGUAUUAAUUUUGUGAAAUACUUUUAGAUGUUUUUAAUAGCUAUAUAUUAAUUUUAG